rnacentral:ncRNA from 1 species
GACUCUGGAGAAGCCCGCAUAGGCGGGGGCCGAAGGUGCAAGGCAGCCUUUUACACAAGGUUGGGCCGAAUCUCUCAGGCAAAAGGACAGAGUA